UCAUUAUAGAUUCUCUAUUUCAGGUUAUUGCCUUCUAUGCAAUGAUUGUACCAAUAUGAAUAUUCUUGUGUUCUUUUCCUUCUCUUCACCCUUAUUAGGCUAAACCUACAUAUAUACAACUUAAUAGGCAUAUUAGUUGAAAGAGCUAGCACCUUGUAAUUGUUUGCAUCAACAUUAAACCAUAAAAUCAUCUAUAAAAAUGAUUCACUUAUUAUUGGAAGUGAUAUUGUUUUUCUUAUAGAGCGGUUAUAAAAGUAAAAUUGUUGGUUUAAUAAUUAUUUUAUUAUCUACAAAGAGCAUUAUUCUCAGUUAAGUAAAAAGAAACUCACAGUUGAGUAGAUUUAGUGUUGAUGAUAUAUUGGGUUCAUCCUCAGACAAAAAACAAAAGAAAUAUUCAUAUUUUUCAGAUUUUUUGUCAUAGGGCUAAACAAAGAGAAAUGGACCUUAGGGCAUCUUGAUGAAAGUGGAGCUUGAAGAUGAAGUUGGAAGCUAAAGUGAAGAAAUUAUGUUUUAUGGGAACAUCUCCGCGUUGCGCAUGUGCUCCAGAAAUGAAGGCCUGUAUUUUUGAUUAAACAGCUCGCAAGACAGAAGAGUCCGCACCAGGUCCGCGACGUGGACCUAGCUGAUUCUAGCAGACCCAUUUGAUUCUAGGAGCAAUUUCGCCGAGGAAAAACAAAAUAAAAAACUGUGCUGUGAUGAAACAAAUCCGCAUCGCGGACUUCAGUACAACUAAUGAAUCUUCAUAUUUUUCGAGGCUAUAAAUAGUACACUUGUAUUUUUUAUUAUGCAUUCAAUUUUUAUUCGAAGUUUUGAAGAACGGGAAUGAAGAAAUAACUUCUCUAGGAUUACUUUUAUCCUUCUAUUUCAUUUUAGACUACUCUUUAACGAAAUUAAUUACUUUUAUGAUUUUAAUUAGGACUAUGAGUGGCUAAGUUCCCCUAUUCUAGGGUUUAGCCACAAGAUGAUGGUUUAAUAUUAA